rnacentral:rRNA from 1 species
GACGAACGCUGGCGGCGUGCUUAACACAUGCAAGUCGAACGGAAAGGCCCUGCUUGCAGGGUACUCGAGUGGCGAACGGGUGAGUAACACGUGGGUGAUCUGCCCUGCACUUCGGGAUAAGCCUGGGAAACUGGGUCUAAUACCGGAUAGGAGCCAUUUUUAGUGUGAUGGUUGGAAAGUUUUUUCGGUGUAGGAUGAGCUCGCGGCCUAUCAGCUUGUUGGUGGGGUAAUGGCCUACCAAGGCGGCGACGGGUAGCCGGCCCGGGAGGGUGGACGGCCACAUUGGGACUGAGAUACGGCCCAGACUCCUACGGGAGGCAGCAGUGGGGAAUAUUGCACAAUGGGCGCAAGCCUGAUGCAGCGACGCCGCGGGGGGGAUGACGGCCUUCGGGUUGGAAACUCCUUUCGCUAGGGACGAAGCUUUUUGUGACGGUACCUAGAUAAGAAGCACCGGCUAACUACGUG